GUACUGCUGAAGAGUCGCAAACUAGGGCGAAACAGCUGUCCAGUAC
rfam:Trichobilharzia regenti genome assembly, scaffold: TRE_contig0043582